rnacentral:rRNA from 1 species
GAUGAACGCUGACAGAAUGCUUAACACAUGCAAGUCAACUUGAACUUCGGUUUGGGUGGCGGACGGGUGAGUAACGCGUAAAGAACUUGCCUCACAGAUGGGGACAACAUUUGGAAACGAAUGCUAAUACCUGAUAUUAUGAUUUUAGGGCAUCCUAGGAUUAUGAAAGCUAUAUGCGCUGUGAGAGAGCUUUGCGUCCCAUUAGCUAGUUGGAGAGGUAACGGCUCACCAAGGCGAUGAUGGGUAGCCGGCCUGAGAGGGUGAUCGGCCACAAGGGGACUGAGACACGGCCCUUACUCCUACGGGAGGCAGCAGUGGGGAAUAUUGGACAAUGGACCAAGAGUCUGAUCCAGCAAUUCUGUGUGCACGAUGAAGUUUUUCGGAAUGUAAAGUGCUUUCAGUUGGGAAGAAAAAAAUGACGGUACCAACAGAAGAAGUGACGGCUAAAUACGUG